GAGAGGGUGUCUGCCUUCUGCCCCUCCCCGAGUGGCCCUGCCCCUGUGCCCUAAAGCUCAAGGCCCCUCUGGGGGGGGGAGGGUGGGCGCGCGCGCCCGAGGGCCCCGGUUCUUUCAGAGCUGGGCCGAGGUGAAGGAAAAGCAGGAAGUAAGUGAAUGUAGGGGGAAGGGGGAGAGGAAGGAGAGAGUGAUGGUACAAAAAUAGCGUGUGUGUAGGAAGGACUUCAGUACCGCCUGGAAAAGAGGCGCAGGGAAGCAGGGAGGAGAGGGAGCGAGAAGGGGGGCUGUGGCCGAGAAACCGGAGGGGAUGCGUCGGGGCCUCCCCGGGGCAGUAGGCUCUCUCGCCAGGUGCCUCGGUGUCAGGCAGGGCCGAUUCAGAGGGUGGGGAAAGCCCAGGCAGGGGUGUGGGGGAGAGAUGGGACUUGAAGGCCUGGACUCCAGGAAAAUGACAGAUGGGGGGAAGGUGAGGGGAAAGGAAAGCAGGGGCUAGAGGCCUGGAGACAGAGGACAGAGCCUCCUGGUGAAAAAGCAAUUACUCUCUCUCUCUCUUUCUUUCCCCGGCUCUCUGUCUCUGUCUCUCUUUUUCCUUGAGGGAAAGCUGUGUUCCCAACAGCAGCCAGGCCAGCGAUAGAGAGCGGGGGUGCCCUGGUCACCUGGCAAAGGUGGGUGGACUAGGGGUCCAAGACCCUCUGCUCACGGAGGGACUGGGGCUUGGAAAUAAGGCCCUUCAGAGGACGUGAAUGAAGCACGGUGGAAGACUGACCAGCCCUGCAAAUAGAGAGGGGGUUGAGACCCACAGAGGGAGCGGACUUGUGCAAGGCCACACGGCGAGGCCUGGGGUAAAAAAACGAGAUUUUAAUUCCCGGUUCCCAGGCUAAAUAAAGACCUUCGCAGGGUGACCCUACCCUCACCCCCAGCCCAGCCUCUUCGUCAAAUGCCUGGUCCUGGUGUUGUGCUAAGUAAGGCAGGCGGGCAGGCAGGGUAUACCUGUUUAGGGCCUGGACCAGGCCCCCCGGGGUUCUGAUCCCGCCAGCCAUUGCUUGUGACGGUGUGGACUUGAGAAAAUACCUUGUCAUUUCUGUGGCCCAGCUUCCUCAUUGGCAGUGACGCUAACAGGAGAAUGGACCUAAAAAGGCUGUUGUGAGGAUGAGAUGAAUUCAUUUUGUAUAGUACUUCGAAAAGUGUCUAGCCACAUCGGGCAGAGACCAUGAAGGUGACCAGCUGAGGCUCUUGGAAAAAUCCAUCACCCAAAUCUAUCUGGGGUACAAGGCAGAGCAAAAGCUGCUGCUUGAAGGUCAGCGACGAGGCGGUCUCCGGGCCUGGGAUUCCAGAAGGCUCUGCCAUCCACCGUUCCCCGGGACACACACGCAGACCUCCCCGGGAUUAAGAAACUGCGGAUUAAGGAAGGAUAAUAAUUGAACCACCUGCUAUUUAUGUAUAGCACCUUUGGCAAAGACAGUCAACAGGCCUUCCCCAUACUGGGGCCCCUUUCAUCCCCCCUUCUGCCCCAGGAAGCGGGGAGCGGUGUGGGGGAGGGGGGUCUGGCCUUGUUCUCCUAAUCCAGAGACCACAGAAAAAUCACCCUUGACUGACGGUCAGGGCUGGGAGUGGGCAGACCAGUGGGCAGCUGGGUUCUGGGGUCGGGGGACAGUUUGCCUGAGGUCACCCCGAGCGAUUGUGGCAGAUCAUUGAGGUGAACCAGCCACCUCCACGGGAGGCCUCCUGGGUUGCCCUGGAUUCAAAUCGAACUUCCUUCCUACGUAUGCCAUUCAUUCACGCACUCGCCAAUACUCUUUAAGCAUCUAUCGUGUGCCAGGCACUGUGCUAGGCUUGGGAAUACAGCACUUGGGGCGGGGGGGGACAGACAAAAACCCCUGCCCGCAAGGCAGGGAAGGGGCCCAGGAGUGCCCACAAGAGGAGACAGGUCGGGGAAGGCCUCUGACGACGUGCUACUUGAGGGAAGACUGCAAGAUUCAGGAAAGGAAGCCAGAGGCGGCCCGUCUGUGCUUUGCUUUUCUCUGUCACUCCCUGUGCGCAACCUGUCAGCGAUGCCUAUCUCCACCUCCAAAACCAAGCCGCUUCUGAGCGUCUCCACCACCUCCCACCUGGGCACCUUUUUUCCACCCUCGGCCUCCCCUUCUCCCAUCGACUCUCCACUCAGCAGCCAGAGGCGUCCGUUCUGGAAGGCAGGUGUCAUCCUUCCCCUGCUGUCCAGGACUCGGGAAAUGAAAUGUGUUUUGUGAGCCUCA